rnacentral:rRNA from 1 species
UACGUAGGGUGCAAGCGUUUAAUCGGAAUUACUGGGCGUAAAGCGUGCGUAGGUGGUUUGUUAAGUCUGUUGUGAAAGCCCCGGGCUCAACCUGGGAAUGGCAAUGGAUACUGGCAGGCUAGAGUGCGGUAGAGGGUAGUGGAAUUCCCGGUGUAGCGGUGAAAUGCGUAGAGAUCGGGAGGAACACCAGUGGCGAAGGCGGCUACCUGGACCAGCACUGACACUGAGGCACGAAAGCGUGGGGAGCAAACAGGG